GCUCAGUCGUAAACUUUAAAUUACCCCCUCUUCGCCCGGGAACUACGAGCUAUGCUUAAAACCCAAAGGACUUGACGGUACCCCAUAUCCCCCUAGAGGAGCCUGUCCUAUAAUCGAUACCCCCCGUUCAACCUCACCAUUUCUAGUAAAAUCAGCCUGUAUACCUCCGUCGUCAGCUUACCACGUGAGCGUUAGUGAGCUAAAUGUUUAUUCAACCACACGUCAGGUCAAGGUGCAACACAUGAGAUGGAAAGAGAUGGGCUACACUCUCUAGCUUAGAAGAUACGAAAGACUACUUAUGAAACCUAGUCAGAAGGCGGAUUUAGAAGUAAAAUGGAACCAGAGAGUCCCUUUUAACCUGGCACUGGGGUGUGUACACACCGCCCGUCACCCUCCUCAACGCUAUUUUAAAGUUUCUUACACAUUUUAGCUGCAUAGAAGAGGCAAGUCGUAACAUGGUAAGUAUACUGGAAAGUGUGCUUGGAAACAAAAUGUAGCUUAAUCUUUAAAGCCCCUCGCUUACACCGAGGUAAUAUCCGUGAAACUCUGAUCAUUUUGAGCUAACUACCUAGCCCCAACCCUCAGUAUUCUUACCCCCCUUCUCCCCCCACCUCAACCAAAACAUUUUCCUAAGAUUUAGUAAGGGCGAUUAAAAAAACUCUUGGAGCUAUAAACAUAGUACCGCAAGGGAAAGGUGAAAUAAAAAUGAAAUAACUCCCAAGCAUAAAGAAGUAGAGCUUAACCCUCG
rnacentral:misc_RNA from 1 species